AGUGAACGCUGGCGGUAGGCCUAACACAUGCAAGUCGAACGGCAGCACAGUAAGAGCUUGCUCUUACGGGUGGCGAGUGGCGGACGGGUGAGGAAUACAUCGGCAUCUACUUUUUCGUGGGGGAUAACGUAGGGAAACUUACGCUAAUACCGCAUACGACCUACGGGUGAAAGCAGGGGAUCUUCGGACCUUGCGCGAUUGAAUGAGGCGAUGUCGGAUUAGCUAGUUGGCGGGGUAAAGGCCCACCAAGGCGACGAUCCGUAGCUGGUCUGAGAGGAUGAACAGCCACACUGGAACUGAGACACGGUCCAGACUCCUACGGGAGGCAGCAGUGGGGAAUAUUGGACAAUGGGCGCAAGCCUGAUCCAGCCAUACCGCGUGGGUGAAGAAGGCCUUCGGGUUGUAAAGCCCUUUUGUUGGGAAAGAAAAGCAGCAGGUUAAUACCCCGCUGUUCUGACGGUACCCAAAGAAUAAGCACCGGCUAACUUCGUG
rnacentral:rRNA from 1 species